rnacentral:rRNA from 1 species
UACGUAGGGCGCAAGCGUUGUCCGGAAUUAUUGGGCGUAAAGAGCUCGUAGGCGGUUUGUCACGUCGGAUGUGAAAGCCCGGGGCUUAACCCCGGGUCUGCAUUCGAUACGGGCAGACUAGAGUGUGGUAGGGGAGAUCGGAAUUCCUGGUGUAGCGGUGAAAUGCGUAGAUAUCAGGAGGAACACCGAUGGCGAAGGCAGGUCUCUGGGCAUUAACUGACGCUGAGGAGCGAAAGCAUGGGGAGCGAACAGG